UACCAUGAUCAAUUCAGCAGCCCUUUCUUUUCCAAAAAAAAAAAAAAAAAUCUAUCAAAUAUUGGAUUGGCCAUGCACCUCACAUUUCUGCCUCUGUUUUCCUUAGGUGAUAUAUUUUUCUUAUUCCAGUGGGCAACUGUCCAAUAGUCGACAACAUGAUGUUGAGAUAUUUCCAGCGCAGCUAAAAUAGAAUUUGAGAGCAGAAAAAUUACAGGUACCAAAAGCAGAAGAGGCCCAGAUACCAAUUUUUCUCCACCAACAGAGGCUUCAACAGACCAGAGUGCAAGACAAGAAGACUCGCUGCAUUUUGAAUAACUGACACGACUUGCUUUUUCUCAAAUGGGAAGAACUCUGCCACUGCUAUCACGGCUGCUUUCUCCACACGCCUGUAUAAUCCAUGACUGAAUGAAACAACUGCAGGCACUUUCUCUCAGGGGCUGUCAAAACUCAUAUCUGGGAAAUGUAGGGAAUCACUAACUGGAGUCCUGUGGAAGAGGAGGAGGCAGGUUGAGGCGAAGUGGGUACGCUAAUAGGCGAAAACGCCUGUUGCUGCUGAUGGAAACAGAAAACGCACCAAUUCUGCUGCACCAGAAGAUUUUUCUAGGAAAACACCUUCCAGAUAGGCUACUUCAGAAGAUUAAAUGUAAAAGCUUUGAUGUGAAGCUGGUGGGAUCACUGUUGUGUUAUGUCAAGUCUGUAUCGCAAAGCAUCAAUGUAUUUUUAUGAUAAUUUGUCAUAUUGUUAGUUAUUUUGCGCUAUUCUCCCUUAACCAAAUAGAAAUAAAGUGUUGUUUAAAAGCG